UAGUGGGGUUUGCAACUGCCCAGCAUGCAGUGUGCUGCUUUACUACUUUACCGCAGAAAUGUGAUCCUGCUUCUGAUACUGAUGUCCCCAACAGACAGCAUAUAAGAACUCAGAGUCAGAAAAAAAACUGGAGCUGGAACGAGAGAAAGAGAAGUAGGACAAGUUUUCUAAAGAGACAACCUAAGACUCCCUUCUCCACAGAGAGAUUGAGACUAAGCCUAGGAAUGCCAACCAAGCCUGACACAGAAAACAUCAAUGUAUAGAAAAAAGGAGGAAGAAUAGCAGCUAAAGGUUGGGAAACUUACAGCACCACAAUCACACACACAAAAGCAGAGUCAGAAGGCUCUCAGAGGAUUUAAGUCAGCAGCUCAUGAAUCUUCUCAAUGCAAACAACCAGGAGAAGUAGUAGUAGGAGACAAAGGGAGGAGUUCUCAAGCAUGUGUUGUGUAGCUACAGAAUUGUACCAGUGGUUCUGCUACAGACACAAUGAGUACCAGUUAUAUCUCCCACUCAGUUUCAAAAAAAGAAGCGUACAUUUUCCAGGAAGGCUGUAGCCACUUAUUAAACGGACUGUUAACUACUAUGCAGAAAGCUGUUUUACACUGGCCAAAGAAGUCCACAGAUAAAGCACCGAGACUAUCACAUGUCCGGUUGUGGUGGUUGCCCCCUCCCAAUUUACCAUCCUAUCACAGAGACAAGAAGGGGUAGCGAGCGGAGCUGAGAGACACUGAUACAGUCCAUCCAUCUGCCCUUCCUAACAGAAUCACCAGGGAAGUUCUGCACCAGCUCACUCUGCAAUAAGACCAUCACAAAACUAAAGCAAAAUUUAAGCAGCUGAACUGGUGAAGAUAGCAUGCGAAAACUAGGCUCAUCCUCAGCAGUCCAUCAUGGGGCUGAUAAGGAAAAAUAAAA